rnacentral:rRNA from 1 species
UGGGAAUUUGGACAAUGGGCGAAAGCCUGAUCCAGCAAUGCCGCGUGUGUGAAGAAGGCCUUCGGGUUGUAAAGCACUUUUGUCCGGAAAGAAAUCCUUGGCUCUAAUACAGUCGGGGGAUGACGGUACCGGAAGAAUAAGCACCGGCUAACUACGUGCCAGCAGCCGCGGUAAUACGUAGGGUGCAAGCGUUAAUCGGAAUUACUGGGCGUAAAGCGUGCGCAGGCGGUUUGCUAAGACCGAUGUGAAAUCCCCGGGCUCAACCUGGGAACUGCAUUGGUGACUGGCAGGCUAGAGUAUGGCAGAGGGGGGUAGAAUUCCACGUGUAGCAGUGAAAUGCGUAGAGAUGUGGAGGAAUACCGAUGGCGAAGGCAGCCCCCUGGGCCAAUACUGACGCUCAUGCACGAAAGCGUGGGGAGCAAACAGGAUUNGAUACCCUGGUAGUCACGCCCUAAACGAUGUCAACUAGUUGUGGGGAUUGCAUUUCCUUAGUAACGUAGCUAACGCGUGAAGUUGACCGCCUGGGGAGUACGGUCGCAAGAUUAAAACUCAAAUGAAUUGNCGGGGUC